rnacentral:rRNA from 1 species
UACGUAGGGUGCGAGCGUUGUCCGGAAUUACUGGGCGUAAAGAGCUCGUAGGUGGUUUGUCGCGUCGUCUGUGAAAUUCCGGGGCUUAACUCCGGGCGUGCAGGCGAUACGGGCAUAACUUGAGUACUGUAGGGGAGACUGGAAUUCCUGGUGUAGCGGUGAAAUGCGCAGAUAUCAGGAGGAACACCGGUGGCGAAGGCGGGUCUCUGGGCAGUAACUGACGCUGAGGAGCGAAAGCAUGGGUAGCGAACAGGAUUAGAUACCUGGGUA